GGGGAUGUGGCUCAGUUGGUAGAGUGCUUGUCUAGUGUGCAUGAAGCUGGAUUCCGUCUCCA
rnacentral:tRNA from 1 species